AUGGCCAGCAAACGUCAGGGGCCGGUUCACAGUCCUGCUCAUACAUCCAUCAAGUCAGCAUCGGCAGCAUAUGACUCGAAAUGGACUGCCUCGAUGCUAGGCGACUUUCCUGGGGCGCUUUAUUUGGGGCGCAUUUCAGUUCAGCUACUUAUAUACCUGGACAUCCCUCGGGCCGGGCCAGAGAAAGCCCGACGAAGAAAACCUAGGCCCGGGCCGAGCCCGGCCCAGCCAUCAGGCCAAAAAUCCAGGCCCAAGCCCGGGCCGUCAACACAAGUCAGACCAUAUCACCUAAGGACACCCAAGAGACUGAAGACUGUCUAUCAAGCGGCUGGGAACGCAACACACAACGACGAUCAACUCCCACACUACUACAUCCGAAAGAACAGAGCAUCUCUGCCGAAGACCACGAACAACGCCAAUUCCACGGAGACAAGUCAGGCCAUAAGGAUACCUGAGAGACUGAAGAUUAUCUAUCGAGCGGCUGCAGACGCAUUUCCUGUGCCGCCGCUCUUCUUGCUUUUGCGCAGCUACGGAUGCAUUUCAUGUGGCGCCACUCUCCUUGCUUUUGCUCCCGACAACCUUCUCCACAAUCGUCUUGUCAGAUCCAGGGUUGGCCUCCUCCAAACGCGCGAGCAAGCAUCAUUCCAAGGUCUGAAGGUGGCUCUCACGACUGCUUCGGUUCUAGCAUUACUAGAUUUCUUAGAGCAGUUUCUGGUGGAGACUGAUGUUAGUGACAAGGGGAUUGAAGCAGUUCUUCAACAAGCUGGUCACCCGCUGCCUCCUGGUACCGCCACCCCUUCCUUCCCCUGUCCCCCCUCCCCCUCCCCCCGCGCCGCGAGCCCCUCCCUCCUCUUCAUGCCGCCGGCCGUCGCGGCAACGCAGAGUGACCCAGAUGCAGCCGCCCUGUGGUCGGCCUCGACGAGCACGGCCUCGAUCCGGCAUCAGCAGGAAGACCUCGAGCCGAGGAGCGCGGCCUCGAUCGAGACUCGGCAGCUGGGGCGGCGACGGAGGAGGGGAAAGGAGGGGAGCAACAGCCAGGUGUCCAGGAGGAACUCGCCUACCGGCUUUGAGAAGAAGAGAUGA
rnacentral:rRNA from 1 species